GCCGUGCGGCGUGCGGCCUCUUGGCUCACUGCCAUGCGGCGUGCGGCCUCUUGGCUCACUGCCGUGCGCGGUGCGGCUCAAGUCCUUCCAUGCGGCGUGCGGCGGUGCAGCUCAAGUCCGUCCAUGCGGCGGUGCGGCGUGCGCCACGUCACCUGUGAGUCUAUACGUGCGCGCCACACAGUCGCGCCGUAUUGGCUCACUCUGGUGCGCCGCACACGGCACAGUAGGACCCAUGCACCAUGCUCCCAACCGCGCGCCUCGUGUACCCGCGCGCGCAUGCGCAUGACUGCCACGUCAUGCGCCGCAUUGCGCCUCAUCGCCCACGCCACGCGCGCGCGCGCGAGCGUGUGCGAGUGCGAGUGCGAGUGCGAGUGCGAGUUAGGGUGCUCCGCACCCUUCGCGAGGACACUAG
rnacentral:lncRNA from 1 species